UUCCAUACCCUUCCGUAUAUUGUUGUUUCCUGUACUGCAGCUUGAAUGUGAAGAUUCACUUUUGCAAACAUGAACUAUACCCAUCUCUGCUACGAGCAGACAGACAUGGCGACGUGCCGAGGCAACCUUUGCUGCUGUGGCAACAAAGACAGGGUAGGACUGAAUAACAAUUAAACGUACAUGAGUGUAUUGACUACCUAGUAAAGCAGAAUUCAAACAAGACAAACCAGGUAUAUAAUACAAUUUGCUUGCCCAUAUCGAUGUGUCAACAAAUUUUCAAAUCUGUAACAUAGUCUAAAACUGUUCAACAAUCUAGCGAAAGAUAGAUACAGAAUCACCUAAAUAGAAAAGCAUAUAAUGCAGGGCCCAAUACAAUUACACAGAAAAGAAACUCCAAACAAUCACCUUAAUCCUUGCUGAUUUUUGGACAGCAGAACAACAACUAUUCGUUUAGCUCAUAACUCACAAGAUAUUCAUGCAAAAAUAGUAAACUAGGACUUUAUAAAAAGCUUAUAAAGUCUUCUACAUCUUUUGUAUUACAAUCAGAACAAGGUUCGACCUUUAGAAAGGUCAAACAGUGCUAAACAUAAAUUCUGUCCAGAUUUGGACAGAAUUCGACUACUUACUUCAAAAAUCCAUAACUGGAGUUUCAGGCAUCCAAAUCAGGUGAUCCUAGACUUUUUAGAAAGCUAAUAUAAUUGUCUACAAUUCAUUUAUAAACAUCCCAGGUUAAUUCAAUAUAUAUCAAGGUCAGAAAACAUGAGAAAGACUCUGCUGUUCAAAUUUGGACAGAUUCAGAGAUCACACUUCAAACAGCUGUCACUUAACUUAUAGAUCACCAAAAAGGGUGAUCCAAGACUUUUUGGAAAGCUUAAAAAAGUACUACAAUUAUUCUAUAAUUACUAAGGGUUGAUUCUCAGUUUAGCUUAGCCAAACAGUACAAUUUUUGAAACCUGUACAGAAUUUGGACAGAUUCUAAAACAGGACUUAAGAAAAUCAUAACUCCUAAACUACUAAACCUAUGAUCAUGAAAUUUUUACACAAGUAAGAUAAAGAAGUUACCUACAACUUUUCUAUAUAACAUUUCUACAGAAAACAUGGUUUACUUCAUUGAACUAGCUCCUUACGAAACUGGACAUGCAGUCCCAAACAGCAAGCGUUCCAUUUAGCUCCUAUUUGGUUUUUACAAUUAUCAUGUGCUUGACACUUUCUAAUCGCAUAUAUAGAUUUCUGCUAUUUUAUAACCAUGAAUCCAUUUACUUCACAUAAUCUAGUAUUUUGAACCUACUCUGACAUUAUGCAAACAAAGAAUCAAUUUAAGUACACUAUGCAUACACAUAUAUUCAUCCAAGCACAUUCCAUACAAUAUCAUCACCAAGAACUCAUUUUUAUUACACUAUGCAUAUAAAGUCGCUCUCUCUAUUCACCAAAUAUAUGACAUACAACAUACCAUCACAAGGACAAAAGAGAAAAGAGAGAAACAAGCAUUCCCUGACAACAACCCAUAUUCGCCUAGAACCUUUGAUUAAUCAACAUGAUAGAAGAUAAUGAUGACUAAGACUGAUCUUCAGCUUCAUAAAAUAAUUGGCUAAUUUACUUGCAAUAACACUACCUCCCUUGUGCAGUCCUCGGCACAACACUACACUAUAUGCCUAUCAAGAGUAUUCAUCCCAUAAUCAUGUAAUAACCCAUCUAAUAUUAUAUCAAAUCAUACAUCUACCUAUCAAACACGCAUAUAACCAUAUUACGACAUAUAAGGAGUCAUUUCAUCAGAAAUUCAUAUCGAAGCUAAUCCUAACAACACUCCGAAACAUAAAAGACAUACCACUUAAUUCAAACAAGACAAACCAGGUAUAUAAUACAAUUUGCUUGCCCAUAUCGAUGUGUCAAUAAAUUUUUAAAUCUGUAACAUAGUCUAAAACUGUUCAACAAUCUAGCGAAAGAUAGAUACAGAAUCACCUAAAUAGAAAAGCAUAUAAUGCAGGGCCCAAUACAAUUACACAGAAAAGAAACUCCAAACAAUCACCUUAAUCCUUGCUGAUUUUUGGACAGCAGAACAACAACUAUUCGUUUAGCUCAUAACUCACAAGAUAUUCAUGCAAAAAUAGUAAACUAGGACUUUAUGGAAAGCUUAUAAAGUCUUCUACAUCUUUUGUAUUACAAUCAGAACAAGAUUCGACCUUUAGAAAGGUUAAACAGUGCUAAACAUAAAUUCUGUCCAGAUUUGGACAGAAUUCGACUACUUACUUCAAAAAUCCAUAACUGGAGUUUCAGGCAUCCAAAUCAGGUUAUCCUAGACUUUUUAGAAAGCUAAUAUAAUUGUCUACAAUUCAUUUAUAAACAUCCCAGGUUAAUUCAAUAUAUAUCAAGGUCAGAAAACAUGAGAAAGACUCUGCUGUUCAAAUUUGGACAGAUUCAGAGAUCGCACUUCAAACAGCUGUCACUUAACUUAUAGAUCACCAAAAAGGGUGAUCCAAGACUUUUUGGAAAGCUUAAAAAAAGUACUACAAUUAUUCUAUAAUUACUAAGGGUUGAUUCUCAGUUUAGCUUAGCCAAACAGUACAAUUUUUGAAAC
rnacentral:lncRNA from 1 species